rnacentral:lncRNA from 1 species
UGUAUAUAUGGGAAAGAAGGCAAACCCGUAAGUAGCCACUUCGGCCUGGUCUGAUGUGACACCACUACACCGAAUGGUGUUAGUGCCUCAACCAGCUUACUGGGACGAGCUUCGAGCAGGCCAGAUGUUGCAACUCUAGCUCCACUCCACAGCAAACUGUUGACCAUAUCCUUACAUCUACGGUUGGGAGCGGUUGCAUGUGUAUGGAAGGUUUGGAUCAACUAAACUUUUCCCUGAAGUCUUCUUCUACAGCACAACUUCUUCCUCAUUUCUUCUACCAGCAAACAAACCAACAAGUAAACCUUGAGUUGAGAAAAAAUUAGAAGCUUUGAUGGUGAUGACAUUUGGGAAAACAGAACAUGUGAGUGUGCAAGUGAGAUUGAGAGUCCAAAACUUAGUUUCGAUUUAAUAUUGUGUAGGAGGCUUCGACCGAAGCCAUUUUAUGUAAUAUUUCUAAAAGUUGUAGACCUAUACCGAGGGGAAGGUCUGGUGCGUAUUCUCUUUUUUUUUUCGAUUUAGGUAAGUUCCUUUCCUUCACAACUUAAUUUUUUUAAAAAUCAUUUAGCAUCUAAGUAUCCAUUUGAUAGUUCCUCAAGCCCAAAAAUCCCAGUAAGCUGCAAUUUGGAAUCCUUUUUUCUGUUGGUCUUCCACCCGCGAACUGUGCAGGUAAACCAGUUAUUCUUCUUUCAAAUUUAGUUUUUGUCUUCAAUCUUUUUGCAGUUUUUAGUUAGGUUUUAAUUAAAUUAAGUUGUUAAAGGGUUAAGAAUCAAUUGUUGAAGCCAAACAGAUCUUAAAACCUAAAAUCUAACCAAAAAUACAAUUUUGGUUUUGCAACACUGCUUAGGCAAGUUGCUGAACAAUUUUUCAUUUCAGAAUCCUUUUCUUCAGACGUUUGAGUCCAGAUUUUGAUCUUCUUUGAGGUAAGAUGGGUUAUAUUAUGGGUGAU